CAAAACGCAGGUCCGGGAUUCGAGCUCACAACCUCACGAUCGUAAGCUCGAUGCUCCAACCACUGUGCCGUGCGCCUUCUAUCAUAUAUAGAAGGAAUUUCGACAGGAAACCAUCUCACUCUAUGCUAUAAGAGGCUGGCGUAAAGAAAACUUAACAACACUUAAAGGGAAAAAUAAAACGGAGCCCACAAUGAAUGGAUUAAUUGUUGCUGUGGAUCGAACCUAAAACCAACAGCAUUAUACUGCUUGUUAAAGGGAGAUAAUUAGUCUUCGAUGUCUUAUUUCAUGAGACGAAAGGCGCAUGCGCAUUGAACGUGGUUGAUGUUGACUUCCGGGUCAAUGUUCCGUUGACCGAAUUUCUUUUAAUCAGCUGAUAAUAAUAAUACGUUUAUAAUACUUAAAAUACGUACUUAUAAUGCAUUUCUCAACUGCCAUAUACACACAUAUAUAAACAACACCACUGUCCUUUAUGAAACAUUUGCAACAUCAACUGACAUUGACGUAACAGAAGAAACAUCCUCAAUAUUUACCAUUUUUUGAAGACUAAAGCAAAAUAUUAUGCAGAACAGAUGUAUAACAUUGUUUGUAGAAAUCUGUUGUAGAAUUCCUGUGAAACAUUUGCUCUGAAAUAAUACUAUUAGCCAGGACUCGGAACAACACUGACUGGAGUAUCAAGAAGAGGGGCUUCUGUGCUGGUGAAACUUGGAUAAAUUUAUGUAAUUGCUGCUAGAAAAAGGUAACAGUGGACAGAAAUACAGGAGCAGGAGUAUUUGUAAGGAAUUAAGUAUAAGAAUAAAAUAGGAAAAAU